rnacentral:tmRNA from 1 species
GGGGAUAAUUGGUUUUGACAGCAGGUAGAAUAGGUAUGUAAGCAUGCCGGGCAUGAGCACCGCCCGUAAACAGGGCUCAAACAGUUUAACUGGCAACAACAAUGUAGCUCUCGCUGCAUAGUCUGAAGUAUAGUAGGACUACUUUUUCCUGAUGCAAGGCAUCGGGACGAGACAUCGCUCCAAGCCCGUCUUCACGGCUGAAUGGAUAUAGCGGUGCAGAAAUUGCGAAGAUAGUCUCUCCGAGCCGUGGCGGAGAGGCGAAAAUCAAGCGGAUAAGCCGACGGUUGGUGGUUCGGGUCUUGCCGUCGGACGAAAAUGAAGGCCGGAAUAAGCAUGUAGAAAGCGUAUUGAUUCCUUGUUUGGACG